AGGGAGAUUUAGAAAUCUUUAUAUCCCAAAAAUUAAUCCCACAAUUUUUUAUAGCAUAAAGAUUAAUUUAUGGGUUCAAUUAAAGUCUUAAAUUUGGUGGCACUUUUACUUAUUGUCCUUAUGUUGGCUUCUAAUGUUUCUUGUUCAAGGAAAUUGCUUGAUGUAGUUCAAGCACCAAGUUAUGGACCAACAAUGCUGAUGCACCCUUUGAUGGGAACUACUCUUAUGGACCAACCAUGCAGCCAGCAGCGGCUGCAGCCAGCUGAUGCUCCCAUGUCUUUUUUUUUAAUCAUUUUAUAUGGCAACAGCCUUGAAGAAAAUUUCAUAAUCUGAUAUUAUUAGUGUGAAAGAGGAGAAAGAAAGAAGCUAUGCAAAGCAACCCCUUCACUUAUUAACUUACUAUUAUUAUUAUUAUUAUUAUUAUUAUUAAUAUUAUUGUACUUUAUUUCAAAAUGGCAAUAAAUGGUCAAAGUUGUAGGGAUCAUAAGUCAUUAAUAAUUCAUAGUAUUGAACCACUAGUAGAACAUGCAUGGGAAAGUGUUUUCUAAUUUCUACAUAUAAAUUUGAAAUUAGGGUUUUGAAAUCAUUUUCCCUUAUGUGUCCACACUUAACUAACUACUAAAACGUUUAUAUUUUCAACUUUUUUUUUUAUAGAAAAAAUAAUUUCUUUUCACUCCCUUUAUAUUUGUCCUUAAAGAAAAUGAAUUUUGGAAUUACGAUCUUUGAAUAAAAUAUUUAAAUUGUAAAGUCAAAUGAAGUGGUCAAAGCAAUAAUUAUAUUAUCAUGUGAACUAAAACCCUACACCUUUACUUAGCUUUCUUUCACCCUCAAUUCUUUCAAAUGACCUAACGCGGUUUAGUACUCAUAUAAAUGGAGCUUAAAAGAGCUCAAGCAAAUGCACUCUCAAAAUAAUAUAUUAUAUCUUCCAAACAUAUUUCAUAUUUUUCUAAUCUACCACAAAAAGAGGGAAAAAAAAAAAAAACCGAACUUCUAAAAUGGCUUCAAUUAUUUGGAAACUCUUCUUGAUCAUCACACUCAUCUUAGCUUCAAGUAAUGUUCAUGCAAGGAUAUCUCAUUCCAUCUACAUUCAUGGUAUGAAGUCUGCAGAGAUAAAUAAUGUUAAUACAAUUGCUCAACCACCAAGUACCCAAAAUGAUGAAGAUGGUAUGAAGAACAAUACAGCAACAAACAAUACAAUUAUUGCUGCUCCACCACCAGCAAAAAAUGAAGAUGGUGUUUGGAAUGGGAACUUUUGAUGCUCAAUAAUAUCUGUAUACAAUAUUCUUAUUAUCAAUUUGAUUUACUUAAUGUAACAAAUUCACUUAUAGCUUAUUAAUCAUUCUUUGGCUUUAAAAGAAAAAAGAAAUUAGGAUAUGGAGUAUAUCUGUUUCAUAUAUUUUCAUAAUUACGUGAGAAAUCAUUAUUUUAAUUUAUUGUAUUGUCACUAGUUCGAAUUUACUACUUCAUUUUUCGUAGUAAGAAGAAGAAG